rnacentral:antisense_RNA from 1 species
GGCAAAGGGAGCAGACAGCUGGCAAGCUCUGUCCCAAUAUGCUUCCCUGAAAGAGGCGAGGAAAUUUCAGAAGAUGCAAUGCCUGAAUGGCUCACUUUGCAGGAAAACAGAAGAACCAAGAGUGAACAGGAAACCUACAGAAUAGGAGAAAAUGUUUGCAAUCUACUCAUCUGACAAAAGGCUAAUAUCCAGAAUCUACAAAGAACUCAAACAAAUUUACAAGCAAAAAACGAACAACCCCAUCAACAAGUGGGCGAAGGACAUGAACAGACACUUCUCAAAAGAAGACAUUUAUGCAGCCAACAGACACAUGAAAAAAUGCUCAUCACCACUGCCCAGCUAAAUCUUGACUUCUAUUGAAGAAGUGAAGGAUGGAUUUUGUAAGCCAACCAGCAGCCAAAGGAGACUAAGAGGAGUCAUUCAGGAAUAUAAGGGUUAUGAAGACAGUGGUGUCCCAGAAACCAAGGAGAAGAGGAUGUUGCAUGAAGAAGGAGAUGAUGGUUUCACGUUGGUUACAUUUAUCCAAAUGCCCCGUCCAACUCUUCAGUGUCCCUAGUAAAAUCUGGUAUAGAGAUGGACACUGUUUUUUAGGUGAGGCCUGCUGAGUGUGGAGAGUUGUGAAAAAUUUUUCCCUUAAAUUGAGAAUGUUUUAAAUAAUGCAGCCUGUGUUUUCUUUAAGUAACAAGGCCAUCCCACUGACUCACACUGAUCUAGUUCUCAGCAAAAAACUCCCUGCUCUUCCUCAUAUUAAUUGCCAUAAAAACAAGUCACUUCUAUCAUGCAUUUGGCUCAUUG